rnacentral:rRNA from 1 species
GAUGAACGCUGGCGGCGUGCCUAAUACAUGCAAGUCGAGCGAACAGACGAGGAGCUUGCUCCUCUGACGUUAGCGGCGGACGGGUGAGUAACACGUGGAUAACCUACCUAUAAGACUGGGAUAACUUCGGGAAACCGGAGCUAAUACCGGAUAAUAUAUUGAACCGCAUGGUUCAAUAGUGAAAGACGGUUUUGCUGUCACUUAUAGAUGGAUCCGCGCCGCAUUAGCUAGUUGGUAAGGUAACGGCUUACCAAGGCGACGAUGCGUAGCCGACCUGAGAGGGUGAGCGGCCACCAGGGAACUGAGACACGGUCAAGACUCCUACGGGAGGCAGCAGUAGGGAAUCUUCCGCAAUGGGCGAAAGCCUGACGGAGCAACGUCGCGUGAGUGAUGAAGGUCUUCGGAUCGUAAAACUCUGUUAUUAGGGAAGAACAAAUGUGUAAGUAACUAUGCACGUCUUGACGGUACCUAAUCAGAAAGCCACGGCUAACUACGUG